ACGAGAACCUCUUGUACAGUAGGAACUAGGAACUGAAUUGGACCGUUAGAUUAAAAGGUAAUGGACGGAUCAGAUCAUUUAAUAUCUAGAAUUCAGGAUCAUGCGAUUAGCUCUUCACACAAUUCUCUAUCCUCCAACCAAUCUCUCUCCUCCAUUGAUGCUAGUGCUUUGAGUUCUCCAUUAAACUAGUUAUCGAGCUUUUUUUUCUCCAUUAAAGCGGUAUUCGUGCUCUCUGUACUCCAUUGAAGUAGCUUGUGAGAUAAGAGGUUUUUUAUUUCUCUAUUUUCGUGCUCGUCCAUGGUGUUGUAUAAUUUGGUGAUUUCACUUCGAAUUGUCUGAAAUUUACAGGUAAACAUUGUGAUUUUUGUUCUAUCAAAUUUCUAGGUUUUAUUUAUUUAUUUUUAUUUCUUACUCAUGUAUUACUCACAAUUUGUGUUUGAAUUUUGGAGAAUUAGAUUUCUAGGUUUUUAUUAGAGAAUUUUGGUGCUCGAAUUUGUGCUAUAUUUUCCAGAUGUAGCGUAUGAAUUUGAUCAAAGUAGACUAUUGAUUUGUUCGAUAUCGAUUAUUGAGAUUCGUUUUAGUGUUUCGGUUGGAGUAUUGUUUUAAUUUAAUCAAAUUAGACUAUUUAACGAGCAUAUAUUGAGUUUCUAAAAUCCGCAAAUUGAUUAAUUUCAAGAUCAUACAUUAUUUAGUGAAUAGUGAUAUUUCAAAGCUAUUCAAUUUUUCACUACGAACGAUUUUUUCCGGCUUUUGAGUUAUUAUAGCUAAUUUUGACUACUUUUGGAUGGAGCUUGAGUUUAUGCUAAUUGAUCCUAUGGAUGAUUCUUGUGAGAUUUACAGGUUGAAUUUGUUUAAAGUAAAUAGAAACCAAGUAAAAGUGAACAAAUUAUAGUGUAAAGUAUAUAGAAAAACUAAAACCAUUAUUUACAUUAUAUGAGCAAUCAAAAUCAGAGGGAGAACAUAAUUAGCUGUGUGGAAGCUGGUUGAGUUGAAGUGAUUGUCAAUGUUGUUAUGGUAGAUCUCAUACCUAUGUCCAUGAAAGAAUUUAUCUCAUUUAAGUAAAUCAACUCUCCUUAAAAGUAAACUAAAUCUCUCUAAAAGUAAAUUAAUCCUCUCUUAAAGUAACUAAUGCCAACAAUGAGGACUUUUUGAUGUUUGUAUCUUUGGUGUGGGGUGCGUGGUCUUAUAGGUUCUCUAUUGUGUUUAAUGAGCCAUGGAAAAACCGGGUUAUUGGAGUCAUGGGUUUUGUUCGAUUGGUUAGGAAUUAUAAAAACUAUACUGAUAGGAUUUAUAGGACAUCUAGGGAGGAGUAUGAAUAGGGCAGUUGUUAGGAGAUCUUAGGUGCCGCCUGUUGCUUGUAGAGUUUGUGUAUUCUGAUGCAGCGCAUUUUCAAAGGUACAGGGGUUGGCUUGGGUAUUACAAUUAAGGAUUAGUAAGGGAAGAUUAUGGCUGUUAUGUUGCAAAGAUUGCAUGCAUAGGUGGCUGUUGUCUGUUGUCAUGGCAGAAUCCUUGCUGUUAUGGUGCAAAAAUAAGCAUGAAGAAUUUGGCAUUAAACAUCAUAAACUACUAGUGCAAUUUUCCUCUGAAAGCUCACAAAGGCAAGCCUUAUCUACCUUGCUAACAUUUGAGCAGCAAUUGAAAGAGCGUGAAAAUCAGGUUGUAUAACUGAAACUUGAUCAAGAGUAGACUGGUAAACAUUCACCUCAAAACCGUCAAGAUCUGCCUCAUUAGAUUGACUUGUACGUGAACCUCAUUAGAUUGGCACAAAAAUUGAUGCAAAAUCAACAAUAUGCAUGGUCUGCAAUCUAUAUUGCAUGUUUAUUCUUUAAUGUAAAUACCUUUGGAUUGUCUUCUAGUGUUAAAUGUUAUUACCUUUGGGCUUUGGACUGUAUUCUAGUGUGUGAGCAAGCAUUUUCUAUGGCACAGAAUUUGGAUCAGAUGGCAGAGGUGUCCUGCAAGUUGAUAUUGUUGUCAUACAAAUUUGUGAUUGUGUUGGGAAUAUCUUAAAUAAGGGAGUGCUUAGAUA